GACAGAGGGUGCAAACGUUGUCCGGAAUUAUUGGGCGUAAAGAGCUCGUAGGCGGUGUGUCGCGUCGGCCGUGAAAACCUGGGGCUUAACUCUGGGCGUGCGGUCGAUACGGGCAUCACUGGAGUUCGGCAGGGGAGACUGGAAUUCCUGGUGUAGCGGUGAAAUGCGCAGAUAUCAGGAGGAACACCGGUGGCGAAGGCGGGUCUCUGGGCCGAUACUGACGCUGAGGAGCGAAAGCGUGGGGAGCGAACAGG
rnacentral:rRNA from 1 species